rnacentral:rRNA from 1 species
UCAGGAUGAACGCUAGCUACAGGCUUAACACAUGCAAGUCGAGGGGCAGCAGGAUUGUGCUUGCACAGAUUGCUGGCGACCGGCGCACGGGUGAGUAACGCGUAUCCAACUUCCCCAUAGUAGAGGAUAGCCCGGCGAAAGUCGGAUUAAUACUCUAUGUUGUACAACGAGGACAUCUGAAUUGUACCAAAGAUUCAUCGCUAUGGGAUGGGGAUGCGUCUGAUUAGGUAGUCGGCGGGGUAACGGCCCACCGAGCCUACGAUCAGUAGGGGUUCUGAGAGGAAGGUCCCCCACAUUGGUACUGAGACACGGACCAAACUCCUACGGGAGGCAGCAGUGAGGAAUAUUGGUCAAUGGGCGCGAGCCUGAACCAGCCAAGUAGCGUGCAAGGAUGACGGCCCUAUGGGUUGUAAACUGCUUUUAUGCGGGGAUAAAGUGCACCACGUGUGGUGUUUUGUAGGUACCGCAUGAAUAAGGACCGGCUAAUUCCGUGCCAGCCGCAGC